UGGGGAAUUUUCCGCAAUGGGGGCAACCCUGACGGAGCAACGCCGCGUGCGGGAGGAAGGCCUUUGGGUUGUAAACCGCUUUUCUCAGGGAAGAAGCUCUGACGGUACCUGAGGAAUCAGCCUCGGCUAACUCCGUGCCAGCAGCCGCGGUAAUACGUAGGGGGCGAGCGUUGUCCGGAAUUAUUGGGCGUAAAGAGCGUGUAGGCGGCCCGGUAAGUCUGCCGUGAAAACCUGGGGCUCAACCCCGGGCGUGCGGUGGAUACUGCUGGGCUAGAGGAUGGUGGAGGCGAGUGGAAUUCCCGGUGUAGCGGUGAAAUGCGCAGAGAUCGGGAGGAACACCAGUAGCGAAGGCGGCUCGCUGGGCCAUUCCUGACGCUGAGACGCGAAAGCUAGGGUAGCGAACAGGAUUAGAUACCCGUGUAGUCC
rnacentral:rRNA from 1 species